CCUACGGGAGGCAGCAGUGAGGAAUAUUGGUCAAUGGGCGGGAGCCUGAACCAGCCAAGUCGCGUGAGGGAAGACGGUCCUAUGGAUUGUAAACCUCUUUAGGCGGGGAGCAAUGCCGGGCACGCGUGCCCGGAGGGAGAGUACCCGCAGAAUAAGCAUCGGCUAACUCCGUGCCAGCAGCCGCGGUAAUACGGAGGAUGCGAGCGUUAUCCGGAUUGAUUGGGUUUAAAGGGUGCGUAGGCGGAUUUUUAAGUCAGCGGUAAAAUGUCCGGGCUCAACCCGGGCCGGCCGUUGAAACUGGGGAUCUUGAGUGGGCGAGAAGUAUGUGGAAUGCGUGGUGUAGCGGUGAAAUGCAUAGAUAUCACGCAGAACUCCGAUUGCGAAGGCAGCAUACCGGCGCCCGACUGACGCUGAGGCACGAAAGCGUGGGGAUCGAACAGGAUUAGAUACCCCGGUAGUC
rnacentral:rRNA from 1 species